rnacentral:lncRNA from 1 species
AUGCCAUGGGCCCCAUUUUACAGAUUAAGAUACUGGGGUUCAGAGUGGCUAAGUUCCUUGCCAAAGUCUUUCAAAGCAGAGAAGUCUGUGGAAGAUCUUCCCCAGGCCUUCCUGCUCUGGAGAACAGGAGACUCGGUGGGGUGGGACAGGAUGGGGCCAGGUGGAGGGGAGGUGGGGUGCAGAGUCACGGCCAAGACCUCAGCUCCUGCAGAUUGCCUGGCGCCAAGGCCUAGUGGGGCCCAAGAACCAGGAGACUCCCUGCUUUCACAGCAAGUCAGAGCCGACAGGGUCUCAGAGAUGGUGCCUUGGUCUCCUCUGUCGCAGCAUGCAGGGAGGUGGGGACAAUGCCCGGGAGCCGAAGGCAGCUUCACAGGGACACUGAGCUGCGAGGGCAGCCUCAGCCCGUUCCCCACUAAGCACCUGCCUUCCCAUCUCUCCCUCAGCCUGAGACCCUGUUUCAGGCUCAAAGUGCUCAUUGCGGAUUCUCCAGCUCUGACUCUCUGUCUUGGUCUCUCUCAGCUUCUGAAUCUGUCCCAGGGUCUCUCUUUAUCUCUCCCCAUGCACUUUGACACUCUGAAUCUUGGCUCCGGUCUUUGUCUCUCUUCCUCUUCACUCCUCUGUUGCUGUUUCUCUCUUUCCAAAAGUCUGUCUAUUGUGGAUGCAUCUCUCUCUCUACCUCCCAUCUUCUGUGUCUUUGUCUGUCCCUUUCUGUCUCUGUGUCCCCCUCUGUCUCUGUCUCCCAGGCUCUGUACUAUCUCUCUGCCACUCUCCCUGUCUCCUUGCCUCUAUCAGUAUCUUUCUGAGUCUCUCACUCAGCAUGUGUCUCUCUGGGUCUCUGACUCUGGGGAAAGCAAUGUUUCCUCCACAGCAUCCCCAUCCCUGGCCUGCAGCACUCCCGUGGAGGAGGCGGGGGACCCCUGGGCAUCAUUCCAGGGUCUGCUCCAUCUGGGUGGCGGCACUGACAGACAAGAUAGGGAUCAGGCCUUGGCUCUGUCCGGGCCUGAGCAAGGGGGCACAGCCGGGGUAUGCGGGGGUGUCUCGGUGCCGAAAAUGUUUGUGCACCUCUGGGUUUGUGUGCGGGUCUGUCUGUGUGGGGUGGUCUAG